UUUAAACAGCAUUACAUUCACAUUAACGCAACACUAAGUUAUUAGGGAAAGAAGAACAAUCGCACCUGAAAACAUUGUAAAACUUUGUUUAGAAAGAAAAUUUAAUGGAAUCCGAUCGAACUGUAACGGCUCCUUCAGAGCUUACGCUCUACAUAAGGACAGGAGACGUGUGUAUGACGUGGUGAAGGAGUCUCCAGUGUCAGCUCUGUGGACCAGUCAGAUGUGAAGCUGGAAAGUCCUCCACAUCUUCAGGACAGAGCAGUAACUCACAUCACUGAAUAUUAAAUGUAACAGCAUGUAAAUGGUGAUAGAGGAGUGACUGGGGUGUGAGAGGAGAAGAGGAAGAACACACAUGUGGACUGUUUCAGGGACAUAAAACUGAAAUCUUACCGAGGUUAAACUGGUCCGAAGCGUUACCGCAGGUCUGCUUCACCUCCUCACUGUUCCAUCCGAGAGGAUAAAGAGCACAACCGGAGCUGAUCAGUAAACCUGCACACACACACACACACACACACACUUUAUAUUGUGUAUUAAGAACUAUAGAAACAUCUGUAGUCCAUUUUUGCAGAGUUGUCGUUGUGUAUAGUGCUGUGUGAGAGUCAUGUGAUCAAGACACAGGUACAAAAGUGCAGUAAGAGUCGCUUCACUGAGUCGACUCUUUUGAACCAAACCCGUUCCACUGAAUCAAACUUAGCAGCAUCCAAAAGAAUAUUUAGCGAGCCUCAGUGUCGGAUGCUGAGGCUUUCAGUCUGAGUGCAGAGAUGCAAGAAAACUUUGAUUUGUUUUGUUUGUGUCUCAACCGAAAUGAAUCACUUUCAAGGAGGAAUCGCUUACAAACCUUUCCGGUCUCUACAGUCACCGAGUCACGAUCAGGAGAGAUGGAGCAUAAAGUUUGUUACAUACUGUAUAUAUAACUAGAAACACACAGCUAUUGAUGCUGAUGAACACAGAUCUUCUCAGCUUGCCUCUUUUUUCAGCUCCACAUUUAAUCACCUUCAUAACCAGAGAUGAUGAAUACGAUCCAAGCUCUACAGGAAGUGCCUGGUGUAAAAUUCUCCUUCACACAUAAUCCCACUGCAGGACGAUCGUGAUCACAUGACAGUCUAAGAAUCAUCAGUCUUUAAAUUUCACUCCUAAAUGUCUUAGAGGUCGGAGGAGGAUUAAACCCAGACGUGAACACGAUCCGGACGUGAGAUCGCAGAAGCAGCAGGAGUGUGUGUCAGAGUAAACCUGCCUGUCGGAAUGUUUUAGUUUAGGUGUUAAUUAUUACGUUUGGAGCAGAUGUAGUUUCGUUUUAGCUUUCUAGCUGAAUAUUAAACGGCGUCGGCCCACAUUUCCUCCCGGAUUGAGCCGUCAGAGCGCAGAAACCCCUUCAGCACCGCGCCAUCUGCCACCUGACACACCACUAAUAAAGAACGCUCUCGAAAUAAUCCUGGCACUGCGUCAUCACAGCAAGUAGAGGACGUGGGGGGGAAGGAGCAGCUGGUCGUAGUGGGAGGAUGACAGAAGAAAGUGCCACGUUCCCUCCAUCCGAGCCGCUCUGGACUGCUGGAGCGUCGGAAACGUGUGUAAAAGCAGCUGGUGGACGAAGAUCCCACGCGCUUCCAUCUGCUUCUGCUCUGCAUCCAGACCACAGACGCGCUAACGGCGCUGACGAUGGCGGCUUUUACGAGUUUAGUGUUUUAUUAGGACCUUCGUUAGAUGCGAGUAGCUGUUCCUCCACUCAGGUCUGGGGAAAGGUCACGGCCGGGGUCACGUCACUGAACCCCGCAUACUUAAAGGAACAUCGAGAACUGGAGCUUCUCCUUUUCUCCACUGAGCCCACGACAUUCAGCACCUUGGUACAGUGCUGACAUUUUUUCCCAGCUACAAAGCUCACGACCUUAUCGGCCUUUACAGCUCACAGCGCCGCUCUGGUCAAAGGUCAUCCGGAGGUCACUGGGUAAUUGUGAGAUCUGUGAUUCCUGCGAUGAGACGUCUCUCGUUCACUCUGACUUCAGCACCGAAGACGUUCACAAGCAGGACGACACGCAGAUGAUACACACUUCACAGGACUGGAACCUGGUGGAUCUCCUGAGGGAUUAUCACUAAACACUGUACACACUUCUGUGUUUAUGUCACGUCCCUGUUAUUACCAUAGUGUGUCUAUGAUCCACACACACACACACACACACACACACACCUCUCAAACCCCUCAUUAGGAAACUUCACACUGCUUUGAGGUUUGUAAUUUAGAGCUCAGUUUUAUAAAUGAGAGAAGAAGCAGCUCUUCAUCCAGGAGGAGAUCCAAACCCACCUGCAUGAAGAUCACUACUGUGGUAUAAAUCCUCCCCUGAUGCUGCUUCGUCUUCAGGCUCAUUUAUAGAAAAGAAAAUCCACAAAUCUGAAAUGAUGAUGUCGCUGUGGAAUUUUCCAGAACAACAGAAGGACACGGUGGGUGUCGCAGAAAGCCACGUCUUGUUUUUUCCCCUUGUAUUUUCAGGAUCAUGAGGACCCUCAGAGCUCCUGACUGAGUUGGAUCUAAACUUUAGAUGAUAACAGGAGUGGACGAGCAGAACAAUGAGAGAUUUCUUGCAGAAACACUGCAGCCUUUCUUCUUUUCUUCUUCGGCCCCCGAGUGAACAUCACACACACCACACACUCCAUUCAACAGGACAAGCUCCAUUUAUUCACACUGGGAAUCAGGAAAGAAUAAAACACUUCUGUUCAAAUGAAUAUCACAAAUACCACCAGGGAAAAAAGGGACUGAGACUCUGAACAAAAGUGUGAACUGUUCCUCAGACACAGAGAUGAAACACACACACAACACAAUCCCAUAAUUCUGUUCACCAAACAAACCAAAACAUCUCACUGAGCCUCCAUCUCAGGACAUGAACAGAUGGAGUGUAAAUGGUACAGUGACAUCACUAUGAAUCUAAAGAGAUAUCCGACAGACCCCGGAGACAGAACACGGGGGCACAGAACCCAGAGACAGAAACCGGAGACAGAACCGAGAGACAGAACUCGGGGGCACAGAACCCAGAGACAGAACCUGGAGACAGAACCGAGAGACAGAAACCGGAGACAAUGCUCACAGAGACGCUCACCGUGUGUGUGUGUGUGUGUGUGUGUGUGGUGUGUGUGUGUGUAUGUGUGGUGUGUGUGUGUGUGUGGUUGGUGUGGUGUGUGUGUGUGGUGUGUGUGUGGUGUGGUGUGUGUGUGUGUGAGGAAUUAUCAGGUCCCAGUUUCUCAAUAUGUUCACACAUGCUAGCUGUAAAUCCCCACGCUCGCUCCCAGACGUGUGAACUCACUCAGAGCCACAGGACGAGCGCUACGCUACUAUCGCUGCACAGAUGAUUGACAGCAAAGACAGGAAGUAUGCUCCGCCCACCUAGACAGGAAGUAUGCUCCGCCCACCUAGACAGGAAGUAUGCUCCGCCCACCAGCUCAGAUUCCUGGCUGCAUGAUUGUGAUUCCCUUCGAUAAAGAACUCGAAUUUAUUCUGUAGCCACGAUGCAGCCGAAAAGCAAAGGUUUCAGAUUAAGACUGAGAUCAGAUCUGAUCCCAUCUGCCCAGUCUGAGCUCGAGUCAUCUAAUCAAGGCCGGUUACACACCGCUGUGUACACACUCGUUACACACUCGUUACACACUCGGGACGUUCACACACACACUAAACACAACACACCUGAGGGGGAUGUUGUUCUGAUGAAAUCCAACAGUAAAGAUUCUCAUCUCUGAUACAUCUGUCUCGCAUCUGACCUUAACCUGUGUGUGUGUGUGUGUGUGUGUGUGUGUGUACAGAUAAGAGACUGGAGAUGAACUGAUUAGGAAACACACACACAAACACACACACACACCAAACAGAAGUGGUGUUAUCUACUGAUUUCCCUACACACAC